rnacentral:misc_RNA from 1 species
CAAGAAGCGCCGAAAGGCUGCUUAUAAACCAUCGCGAACCUAUCCAUCAGCGUUGCUUCGGCGGGAGCGCUCGCGGGCCUCCGGGCCCCGGGCCCGUGGACCUACCCUUCCGGGGUGUGGGGGCCGCCCGCCGGAGGUACGAAAACUCUUCUGCAUCUUUGUGGCAUCUCUGAGUAAACAAGCAAAUAAGUUUA